rnacentral:lncRNA from 1 species
UGGACUGAAGGGGAACCAAAACCAGCCAAAAAGACUGAAUUCAACAAACAUUUCAUUCAGCAUCAUUGAUCAUGUGUGUACUGAGGCAGUAAAGGAAGAAAAGCUGAAAAAGCAGGUGCUGUCCAAGAAACCCAAAUAAGAAUUCUGGAUGUGACUGGAAUGAUAGAGAACUCAAGCUCCACAUAACAACUGCCAUGAGAUAUGUGCAUAUGCUCAAAAGCCCCUUUGGCAUGCCCUGACCUGACAGAGGAGUCAACUGAUUCUCAGGAAUGUACCAGGAGAAGGUGGAAGGCAGGUAGCUUCCCAGGGGAGGCCCGUGGGUCCCGAAGGGCAUCUGUGGGGGUCAGGGGGGAGGGGGGGACCAUGUCGAAAGAUGGGUGCAGGAAGCUGGAGAAGACGACGAAGCUCAGGAGUCGGCGUGUUAGGGCCAAGGGGCAGAGGGGAAGGAGGCGAGGAGGAGCUGGCGUGCCGUGUGGCUUCGGGCGCCCUGCAGCCCCCUCCCCAGCCUCCGGGCCACGGCCCGGGGUUCACUGGGCUGCAGUACUGAGCUUGGCCGCACCGCUUGCACGGCCGGCUGUCAAGCCCGGGGGGCGGGCAGGAGGAAGGGGUGGGGGUACGGCGGGCGGGAGGGGGAGGAGGGCUGGCACCGGAGCGCCGCCGCGGUGUCGGUGCAAUAAAAAUGCAUCCCGUGAAACUGCCCAUGGAGAAAGACGAGACGGAGCCUGGGGAGCAGCAGCAAGCGGAGGCGGAGGGAGAAGAGCGGGACGCCCAGGAGGCGGCGGCGGCGGCGGCCGGGAACUGAAAGGUCUCGGAAAGUUCAGUGUCCGCGGCGGGUGA